rnacentral:rRNA from 1 species
AUGGAGCAGUUGAAUCUCGAGGAUGAAGUCUUUGAUGAUCUGGUAAUCGAUGAGAACGACCAGGAGAUCAAUGAGAGCGUUAGAUGGCUAGCCCUAGCUAGGGUUCAUACGGACAAAACUUUCAGCCCGACGGCCUUCUAUAGGGAGAUGCGGACGGCGUGGAAUCCAGCACAGCAUGUGAACUUCCGCCCAGUUGGCCCGAACCUGUUCAUUGUUCAGGCCGCUUGCCUUGGCGACUGGGAACGGAUGAUCGAUCAAGGACCAUGGCUCUUCAGGAAUUUCUUGGUCCUGAUGUGUCCCUAUGAUGGUUUUACGAAGGCAGAGGAGGUGCCUAUGGUGUAUAUGCCGGUUUGGCUCCAGAUUCAUAAACUUCCAGAAGGUUUCUGUAAAAAGGGCAUUGUGGAACAUCUGCUUAGGAACUCUGGGAAGAUUUUGGAGAUGAGAUUAAACGGAAACACACGUGGGGACUAUGUGAGAAUUAGGGUUCGACAUGAUGUGCGUCAGCCUCUCACCAAGUUCGUCAGUAUUGUUCGAGGUAAAGAGCGUCAGGUUUUCCUGGUGCAUUAUGAGAAGCUUGCUCGUUUCUGUAGUGUGUGUGGCAUCAUAGGCCAUGAGUUCAAGGAGUGUGGGAACGGGAUUCAUGAAGAGAAAAACAAGAAGUUUGGCGCGUGGCUAUAUGCUGAUGGCCCUAAUAAACCACGACCGGAUGGUGGUAAUCGGGGGAGUGAGCAGAAGCCAGACCAUACCCCAAGCCGUGUAAACAAUCUACCUAAACAGGUGGAUCCUGAAACGCUGGAUACAGCCACAAGCCCGUCGAAGGCCACGAACACACUCAUGCAAGUCGACCUAUCUGUGCGGAAGUGA